rnacentral:lncRNA from 15 species
AUGGUCCGUCUGUGGAGGAUCUGGGAUGUUGAUGGAUCAGGUCUCUGUAAAGAUGUGGACACAACAGUCUCUGAUUGUCCCAUUGGGCCAGCAUGGCUCCUAUCGGCUCUCUUCCUCUCCUCCUGGGGUGACAGCAUCCAUGGUGGGCUGUUAACACUGAUCUUGCUGGUUGGAUCAUUUCACAGUCCGCUGCUCUUUAAUCCAAACCCCACACUUCCUUUUCUGAUGACUGCAGUCUAUUUCUCAUGUCUCCUAUCGGCUCUCUUCCUCUCCUCCUGGGGUGACAGCAUCCAUGGUGGGCUGUUAACACUGAUCUUGCUGGUUGGAUCAUCUCACAGUCCGCUGCUCUUUAAUCCAAACCCCACGCUCCCUUUUCUGAUGACUGUAGACUAUUUCUGUCAGAGGUAAUACGUGUUUGAGCAAUAAAGCUGAAAGCAGAUUGAAACAGAAACAGAGGAGUUUGAAGGAGGAGCCUACCGACCGCAGCAUCUGAAUGUGCAGCUGUUGCCACAGUCACAAUCUCCUGAUCCAGUCCAUUAAAACAAUUCUGACUUUAAAAUCAAAUUCAAUCAUCACUGAAUGUUUUCAACAAUAAAGCCAGAAAAACACAGAAAACUGUUUAAAGUCUGAAGGAUCUGUUGGUGUAGGUACCAGAUGUGCUCGGGGUAGGUACCAGAUGUGCUCGGUGUAGGUACCAGAUGUGCUCGGGGUCCUGCGUUUACAGAUGCUGUAACACAUUAACACAUUAUGAUUGGCUGUAUGUUGAAAAGUGCAACUCUCAGCAGAGAUGAAAAAGAAACAAGAUGGCUCACUCGUUAGUUUCAUCCAUAAUCAGCUCUGUGAAAACUGUGUUACGGUGCAUUAUUUUAUUUUUUAAUAUAAAACUUCCUCACGUCUCAGUAUUAGCUAAAAUAACAUUCAUGACUUUAGCUAACGAUAGCUAAGAUAUCUGAAUACUGUGCUUGUAGCUGUAGUACGGUCCAUGUGAUGUUAAUAACACUGUGAAUUAAAGGCAGCUGGAGCUGAUGAUGGAAGGAGGUAAAGAGUGAGACAUCUUGCUUUCUUUGUACCUACACCGACCGCAGCAUCCGUAUGCACAGUCGUUGCCAUAGCAACAGAAAUAAUCACAAGGUUUGUUCAUUAUUUUCACCUGUUAAAGGGUUUUUGUGGAGUUUCUCUUUAUCUGAAUGGAGGCUGUGAGGAUAGAGGGUGUCGUAUGCUGUACACAUUGUAAAGCCCCUUGAGGCCAGUUUGUGAUUUGUGAUAUU